rnacentral:rRNA from 1 species
GUAUUUAAUAUUUAUAUAAAUAUAUAUUUAUCUUUUUAUUAAAAACAAUUUUACUGUUUGAGUAUAUUAUACAGACUCAAUUAUUUCUUCAAUCUGAAAAAGAAUUAAUAAUUAAAUUUUUUCAAGUAAAAUUUUUAUUUGUACCUUUUGUAUCAGGGUAAAUUAAAUAUAUUUAAGAAUUUUAUUUUUCCCGAAAUAUAAUGAUUUAAGAUAAAUUGAUAGUUAUUGUUGAAUAAAUAUUAAUAAACUUAUCAUAGAAAUGAAACUUUAACAAAUUAUAUGAUAUCUGGUUUUUUAAGAAUUGAAUUGAAUUCAGGAUUAUUAAUAUAACUUUUUCUUAACUGAUAAGUUAUUUUUUUAAUCAAAUUAUGUUAAGGAUAAGCUAAACAUAAUAACUAUAUUUUACAAUGAAAAAAAAUUAAUAGGCUUAAAAACAGCCAUUUUAGAAUAAGUUAAAUUUCAUAAUUUAUUGUUUUUUAUUUGAGUAUUUGUUAGGUAAAUAUUAAAAAUAUAAAAAUAAUUUUUAUUUUAAAUUAAAAUGAUUUAAUUAGUAUAAUGAGUUUUAUUUAAUUUAUGAAUUAGGCAAUUAAAAUUUCCACCUGUUUAUCAAAAACAUGUCUUUUAGAAAAUAAUUAAAAGUCUAAUCUGCCCAAUGAUUAUUGAAUGGCCGCGGUAAUCUAACCGUGCAAAGGUAGCAUAAUAAUUAGUCUUUUAAUUGAAGGCUGGUAUGAAGGAUUGGAUGAGAAAUUAGCUUUAUUAACAAAACUAAUUUAAAUUUAAUUUUUAGGUAAAAAAGCCUAAAUUAAUAAGUAGGACGAGAAGACCCUAUAGAGUUUAAAAAUUACUCAUAUUUAUAAAUCUUAGAAAAACAUAAUUAUAUAAUUAUAGAGUUAUUUUUGUAUUGGGGUGAUAUUGAAAUGUAUGUAACUUUUAAUUAUUUUAACAUUAAUUAAUGUUAAAUUGAUCCAUUAUAUUUUUUAUGAGAAAAAGACUAAAUUACCUUAGGGAUAACAGCGUUAUUAAUUUGGAGAGUUCACAUCGAUAAAUUAGUUUGCGACCUCGAUGUUGGAUUAAGAUAAGAUUUUGGGGUAGAUAUUAAUAAUCUAGGUCUGUUCGACCUUUUAAUUCUUACAUGAUCUGAGUUCAAACCGGCGUGAGCCAGGUUGGUUUCUAUCCACUCAAUAUACUUUUAAUAUUAGUACGAAAGGACCAUGUUAAAUAAUAAAAUUAU